UUUAACUCCGUGAAACUGACGUUAAAUUGACCGUUAGUCAAAUGUCAACGCUAUUGAAUCGUUCGCAGUUUCCUGAUAGAGAAGGCUGAACCCAGACCUCAAUACACAGAGCCGGCCAUGGCUAUAUUUCCCUUAGUCAUCUCCUUUCUCAAGCCCCACGCUUCUCACAUUCUCUCUCCUGCCCGUUGCCAAGCCAAAGGUCGCUAUCCUUCUCUACACAUCACCAUCGUUGAGCCGCCGCUACUUCAGUCGAACAACCGCCUUUACGGUUAAAACUUCUUCAAUACAACAACAUUCCCCGACAAACGCCGGCGACGAGCCACAAAACGCUUCUGAUCUCACAUUUCAACAAACCAUUGAAAGACUCUAGGUUCCAAGAGCUACUACCUCGCCUUCCCCUUAGUAAUCUCCUUUCUCAAGCCCCACGCCUCCCACGUUUUCUCUCCUACGCGUCUCCAAGCCGAAUGCUAUCCUUCUCAACGCACCACCACUGUUGAGCCGCCACUGCUUCAGUUGAAAAACCACCUCCGCGGUUAACACUUCUUUAAUUCAACAAUAUUCCUCGACAAACGCCAGCGAUGAGCCGCCAAAAGCUUCUAUUCGCACAUUCCAACAAACCACUCAAAGACUCCAGGGCACCUCAUUCAUCAGGAGAAUCUAGAACUGUAUAAGAAGGUAGACCUCAUGUGCCAAGAAAAUACUGAAAGAAGGUUUAUGGAACAAGGGAAGCAAAUGAAGCUACCAGAAGCUCACACCGAAAUUAUACUUUGAACAAUGGAUAUGAUUUGCACACACCUGUUCAUAUCCAGUUAAGCCAGGCCCAACGUCCUUGCAAGGAUAGUCACCAUUUCAGCAGGAUACUCCUUACAGCUUAGUACUUUCACUUUUUUCAAUUCUCUGGGUGAUGACACGCAAGGUCCAAUACAAAGGGUAUAUAAUUUCAUCUGCAUUCGAUACGCAUGAUUAGAAUAAUUAAUUCCGUACAGCCAGACAAAGAACAGUUCUCGUGCUUGGUGCAGAGGGAGCCUCUGGUAAGAGUUUGGACUAUGAAUGCUUUGACAUAUUUAAUACUUCUUGAUCCAGAACCAUGGAAUGCUGCGUAAGAAUUUCGAGGCAAG